ACCCAAAGUGUUGAGUUCAGUUCUGGGCUUUCCUCCUGGUUCUGGUAAUGUAUCUUUGGGACAGAAAAUGGCUGAAAGUGAAUAACUGAAGUGGUUAUGGUUUGACCUCUUCAUCAAAAUUCAGCUUACAUUA